rnacentral:rRNA from 1 species
CAAUUCGAGCGGAAACGACAUUAUUGAUUCUUCGGAUGAUUUAAUGGGCGUCGAGCGGCGGACGGGUAAGUAAUGCCUAGGAAGUUGCCCGGUAGAGGGGGAUAACCAUUGGAAACGAUGGCUAAUACCGCAUAAUCUCUAUAGAGCAAAACAUGGGACCUUCGGGCCUUGUGCUACCGGAUACGCCUAGGUGGGAUUAGCUAGUUGGUGAGGUAAUGGCUCACCAAGGCAACGAUCCCUAGCUGGUCUGAGAGGAUGAUCAGCCACACUGGAACUGAGACACGGUCCAGACUCCUACGGGAGGCAUCAGUGGGGAAUAUUGCACAAUGGGCGAAAAGCCUGAUGCAACCAUGCCUCC